UGGGGAAUUUUGGACAAUGGGCGCAAGCCUGAUCCAGCCAUGCCGCGUGGAUGAUGAAGGCCUUAGGGUUGUAAAAUCCUUUCGCCGAGGACGAUAAUGACGGUACUCGGAGAAGAAGCUCCGGCUAACUUCGUGCCAGCAGCCGCGGUAAUACGAAGGGGGCUAGCGUUGUUCGGAUUUACUGGGCGUAAAGCGCGUGUAGGCGGGUCGUUAAGUUGGGGGUGAAAUCCCGAGGCUCAACCUCGGAACUGCCUUCAAAACUGGCGACCUGGACCUAAGUAGAGGCAAGUGGAAUUGCGAGUGUAGAGGUGAAAUUCGUAGAUAUUCGCAGGAACACCAGUGGCGAAGGCGACUUGCUGGACUUAUGGUGACGCUGAGACGCGAAAGCGUGGGGAGCAAACAGGAUUAGAUACCCAUGUAGUCCCUGAGCGGGCUGGCAAGGCGCA
rnacentral:rRNA from 1 species